UACAUGGGGUGCAAACGUUGCUCGGAAUUACUGGGCGUAAAGCGCACGUAGGCGGAUUUGUAAGUCAGGGGUGAAAUCCCGGGGCUCAACCUCGGAACUGCCUUUGAUACUGCAAAUCUCGAGUCCGGAAGAGGUGGGUGGAAUUCCUAGUGUAGAGGUGAAAUUCGUAGAUAUUAGGAAGAACACCAGUGGCGAAGGCGGCUCACUGGUCCGGUACUGACGCUGAGGUGCGAAAGCGUGGGGAGCAAACAGG
rnacentral:rRNA from 1 species